rnacentral:rRNA from 1 species
CUCAGGACAAACGCUGGCGGCGUGCCUAAUACAUGCAAGCCGAACGAGGUAGCAAUACUUAGUGGCGCACGGGUGAGGAAUACGUAGAUAAUCUGCCUUUUACUGGGGGAUAACUAGUCGAAAGACUAGCUAAUACCGCAUAAGACCACAAAGCCUGCGGGCUUAGGGGUUAAAGGAGUAAUUCGGUAAAAGAUGAGUCUGCGUCCGAUUAGCUAGUUGGUGAGGUAAUGGCUCACCAAGGCGAUGAUCGGUAGCUGGUCUGAGGGGAUGAUCAGCCACACUGGAACUGAGACACGGUCCAGACUCCUACGGGAGGCAGCAGUAGGGAAUAUUGGACAAUGGGGGAAACCCUGAUCCAGCAACGCCGCGUGAGUGAUGAAGGCCUUCGGGUCGUAAAGCUCUGUCGCAGGGGAAGAAAAAAAUGACGGUACCCUGUAAGAAAGGACCGGCCAACUUCGUGCCAGCAGCCGCGGUAAUACGGGGGGUCCAAGCGUUGUCCGGAAUCACUGGGCGUAAAGAGUAUGUAGGUGGCUUUUCAAGUCACUUGUGAAAGCCCAGGGCCUAACCCUGGAAGUGCAAGUGAUACUGUUAAGCUUGAGUGUUAGAGAGGAUACUAGAAUUCCUGGUGUAGUGGUGAAAUACGUAGAUAUCAGGAGGAAUACCAGUGGCGAAGGCGGGUAUCUGGCUAAACACUGACACUGAGAUACGAAAGCGUGGGUAGCAAACAGGAUUAGAUACCCUGGUAGUCCACGCCGUAAACGAUGAUUACUUGUUGUUGGUGGUAUUGACCCCAUCAGUGACGAAGCUAACGCAUUAAGUAAUCCGCCUGGGGAGUACGGUCGCAAGAUUAAAACUCAAAGAAAUUGACGGGGGCCCGCACAAGCGGUGGAUCAUGUGGUUCAAUUCGAUGCAACGCGCAAAACCUUACCUAGAUUUGAAAUGUAGUGGAAGAUUCCAGGAAACUGGGUCGCCUUCGGGCCGCUACACAGGCGCUGCAUGGCUGUCGUCAGCUCGCGUCGUGAGAUGUUGGGUUAAGUCCCGCAACGAGCGCAACCCUUGUCUUUAGUUGCCAGCAUUCAGUUGGGCACUCUAAAGAGACUGCCGACGUUAAGUCGGAGGAAGGUGGGGAUGACGUCAAGUCCUCAUGGCCUUUAUAUCUAGGGCUACACACGUGAUACAAUGGCUUCUACAAAGGGUGGCAAAACAGCGAUGUCAAGCUAAUCCCAAAAAGGAAGUCUAAGUUCGGAUUGGAGUCUGCAACUCGACUCCAUGAAGCUGGAAUCGCUAGUAAUCGUGGAUCAGCACGCCACGGUGAAUACGUUCCCGGGCCUUGUACACACCGCCCGUCACACCAUGAAAGCCGUUUUUACCAGAAGUCGAUGAGCUAACCGCAAGGAGGCAGUCGCCCAAGGUAGAAGUGGUGAUUGGGGUG